rnacentral:lncRNA from 1 species
GCAGUGGCCUGUGAGCCUGCUGGGUGGCGAGGCACUGCAUGGAGAGUCUCUGGUGCCCUCUGUCCUCUUCCCUCACCAGGACCCACCUCUCCUGCCACCCGCCCACAGCGCACACCUGACUCAGAACCACCUGUGCUUCUCACGGGCUGCAGACUUAGCUACAGACUCCAUGAACAAUUGCCUGGUGUGUUCGAAUUUGGCUGAAAUGGAACAUCUCCCUCUCAUCGACCCGACACUUUCGCCUCUAUCCUUCUGCACGCCUGUCCCAAGACAAACCUCGCUGCUCUGGAAGUUCCUGGGUCACAGCUCUUUCUGCCUUUGUUCGUCCAUUUACUCCGCUGGAGCUCACGCUCUCCCCCUGCUGUGCUCCGCAGUCUUCCAGAGCCAGGCGUCCCUCGACUGUGCCUCCUCUGGGCUCUGCAGUCCUACACUGCCCGACCCUGUCCCACCUGGACUACGACAAGCUCUUCUGGACCCUCUACGGUGGGCACGUCUGCAGGCGGCUCGGUCUUCGUCCUUGGAGACAGAGAUUCCUUCAGGAUCUGCAGAGUGAUCACAGCCCUCACCGGGCCCAAGUACUUCGCCCUCACACCCUCCUGUCCCUUUCUCAGAGACACUUUCUCAGCAAAACCCACACCGUUCUGCUUGACAAACUCCCGAUUGACUUAUGAAUGUGACAUCGACUGUUACCGUAGGGC